UACGGGGGGGGCGAGCGUUGUUCGGAAUUACUGGGCGUAAAGGGUGCGUAGGCGGCUUUCUAAGUCGGAUGUGAAAACUCUGGGCUCAACCCAGAGCCUGCAUCUGAAACUGGAGAGCUAGGGUUUUGGAGGGGAAAGCGGAAUUCCAGGUGUAGCGGUGAAAUGCGUAGAUAUCUGGAGGAACACCGGUGGCGAAGGCGGCAUCCUGGACCGGUAUUGACGCUGAGGCGCGAAAGCUAGGGGAGCAAACGGG
rnacentral:rRNA from 1 species